rnacentral:rRNA from 1 species
AUGGGAUACAUCGCACCAGAGCUAUACUCUCGGAAUUUUGGAGGGGUUUCGUACAAGUCAGAUGUAUACAGUUUUAGCAUGCUUGUGUUGGAAAUGGUCAGUGGAAGGAGGAACUCAGAUCCAAGUGUUGAGAACCAGGAUGAGGUAUAUCUCCCAGAGUGGAUCUACGAGAAAGUAAUCAAUGGGCAAGAAUGGGAGCUUACUUUGGAAAUGACAGCAGAAGACAAGGAGAAGAUGAGACAGCUGACUAUUGUGGCACUGUGGUGCAUCCAGUGGAACCCGAAGAACUGGCCAUCAAUGACUAAGGUGGUAAACAUGUUAACUGGGAGGCUUCAGAACCUGCAUAUUCCCCCCAAGCCCUUUGUGUCGUCUGAUAAUCGCCCCAUGCCACAAAACACGACGAACACAUGA